AUAAGGGAAUACUCAAUAUAAGACGACCCAAUCUGAUAUAAAAACUUAUACACUUAUACAUUUGACAUAUGGGCCUAUAAGGCCAAAGUUACACUAAACAUUGGCCGACAAGGCCGUACAAUCUUUCACGUACAGGACAUAUGUCUACAAGCCUCUAAGAGUACAUACUUAUUAUAAAGGUUGGGGCAGGACCCCGCCAUACCAAACAAUACACGUCUAAAUCAUACUGACCAAACAAGCAACUCCGGAGCAAGUGGAGGCACCAACACCUUCCGCUGAGCUGAUAGCCUACUUGGAGGACUCUCGACAUAUCUAUCAGGACCUGCGGGCAUGAAAUGCAGCGUCCCCCGGCAAAGGGACGUCAUUACAAAUAAUGUACCGAGUAUGUAAGGAAUGAAAAUCAGUAAACAAUAGACUUGAGAAAAAUAUAGAGUAAAAGACUCAACAUGUAAUUUUGAAUAGCUCUGUGAAUCAUUUCAUAUUUAUAAUGUCAUGCAUAUGCAUAUAAAUGUCAUACUAUACAUAGGUAUAUGUGUUCAUAACAUCAUCAAGUCUCUGAGGGCAUCCCAUCAUAUCAUCUCGGCUACUGUGGGCAAAUUAUCAACGUAUACCAGCUGAUCAGGUGGUGGUGCGUAUAUAACGCCGUAACCUUUUCCCAUAUCCCAUAUACAUAUAACAUACGCGUAUAUAAUGCCAUCUGGUCAUGGGUCAAUGUACAUGUAUGAAUGCAUGAAAUGCAUAAGAAAUACGUUAAUAAGAUUUCUCGGAAUAUCAUAAAAUCAAUAUGCCUUUCAGAUAAACUUUAUCAAAUACGUAUUUUUCUGAGACCCAUGAACAGAAGAUAUAAUAAUAAUUCACAUGGGGAAUCAAGAAUAUAGACACCCCAUAGUACUUCUAUGAAUAGAGUCAUUUAUGAAAAUUAUGCAUUUACUCGUUUCGUUUGUAUCGUAUGGAUCGUGCCAAAAAGAAAGAAGGGAUAACCUUAACAUACCUGAGCCGAUUCUCUUGACAAUCCCUCUAACAUACGUCAAUUGCGACACCACGUAACGAUGGAUCGAAGUAGGAAAAAAUCCGUAUGAUAUUCUUGAGAAAGAUUGCACCGUACUUCCUUUAUAAUUGCAAAAUCUCACGUUUUGAAUUGUUGAAG
rnacentral:lncRNA from 1 species